UAGAGGCCGGGACUUUAGCCGUGGCCCAUGUGAAAAUUAUAACGAAGCAAUAUGACAAUUAAUUGCUUCAUUAUGGGUAAAGAAUUGCAUCACUGUACCUUGGCAUAGGCUAGGUAAGAAAAACCCGCCUUUAUUAAUCAUUGCACCACCAUGGUAGCACGUUUAGGGACGCAAUUCAAACACACCUGUUGCUGGCUAACGUUCGGCCUGGCUAACAGGCUAAAUGCUCAUGGUGGGUCCUCCAACGGUGACUUCUUCGUUCACUGAGGAAGCUUUACCUUUAAUGAGGUGUAUGUGAGGGCCAUCUACUGCCUGUGAUAAUAAUCCCUGGGACAGAGAGACUAAGUGGACUGGUUAUAUUGGGAAUAAACAAGCAGAGAAAUGGAACCUGGAGCAGAUUGAGGACUUCGCAGGGCUUCGUGCACAGUGACAGGACUCGCAGAAGGCCGCUCCGAAAGGCUACAUCUGCAAUUUGAGCCACAACAGGGAGAUUUUGAGCAUGCCAAGCAACUUUCAAGGAAAAUGUUCACGUGUCUGAUAAACCAUUCAGGCCUCCAAGGACGUUUUUCCCAUCCAAGCAUCCAUCCAGUGAAAUUACACACUCAACACAUAAUAGAGUCUGUUCCUAUCGUCUCAGCACAGAGAGACCCAGAACCCACAUCUGCUCCAGAAUACCCCAGACAAUAAACAAUUCACUCUUCAUGUUCAAAUCUCAUUUUUCGGACAAAGUCUUGACAAUAAAAAAGAAAUAAAUUACGCCGCCUCUGAAGGGGCCGCCUUAGCCAUCCUAAAGACGGAAGGAAAAGUUUUUCUCAGAGUUUUUUCGCGGCGAGCAGAUUCCUCUGAGCUAGCCAUUAUCUCAGGGAGGAAGUUAAUUAAAGUGGCCCAGUCUGAAUCAAUGGGGGAAUUUGCUGCCGCGCGACGGACAGACCGACGGACUGACAGGAAGAGCGGAGUGACGGCCAUGACACCACUUCAGAAGAGAAGAUUAGCCCAGAGACAAAACUCUCGGCUCUGAUCAGCCCUACAGUGUGGCUCUCCUCCUGGAUUACUCCUCUCCCACCCCUCCCUCUCCUCCUUUCUUUUUCUAUCUCUCCCUCGCUAUCCAUCCAUCCACGCCUCCCCCAUCCUCCAUCCCCGAAAGAACUUCAGGGGGCUUGUCUUCAAAGCUCGUCCCCUCCUUCCAUCCCUGUAAUUCCUCACAUCAUUACCAAGUUUCCAAAACUUAAUUUUAGCAAUUACACAUGCAAUUAAUUAAUAAAUGUGCUGUCAUUACAGCCCCUUGUGUGAUCUGAGCCCCAUCAAUGGGAGGUUGAAAUAAAGUGGUCAAAUGA